rnacentral:piRNA from 1 species
UCCUAACUGGGAUUCAAGUUCUGCCUCA